GCAGUCAGAGGCGAUGAAGGACGUGCUAAUCUGCGAAAAGCGUCGGUAAGGUGAUAUGAACCGUUAUAACCGGCGAUGUCCGAAUGGGGAAACCCAGUGUGAUUCGUCACACUAUCGUUAACUGAAUACAUAGGUUAACGAGGCGAACCGGGGGAACUGAAACAUCUAAGUACCCCGAGGAAAAGAAAUCAACCGAGAUUCCCCCAGUAGCGGCGAGCGAACGGGGAGCAGCCCAGAGUCUGAAUCAGCUUGUGUGUUAGUGGAACGGUCUGGAAAGUCCGACGGUACAGGGUGAUAGUC
rnacentral:rRNA from 1 species